rnacentral:tRNA from 1 species
GGAAUGGUAGCUCAGUUAGAAGAGCACCACUGUACUAUACUGGAGGCCACAGGUUCAAUCCCUGUCUAGUCCA